rnacentral:lncRNA from 1 species
GACAUUUUCACUCACGACUGAGCUGUGCAAAGGAAGACGGGGAAAUAUCACUGACCUGGAAAAAGUGAAGACACUCCAGAGAGACACGGUGCCCCUCCCAUCAGGUACCGGAAACGGAAGCAGACACACCAGAAACAAUUCGAAUCCCUUGGGGAAUUUCCUGCAGGCAGAGGGCAGAGGCUGAAGCCUGGCGCUGGCAGGAGGAGACCUUGGCUCCCACAAAAGCCUCACAGAGUUUUGGUCUCUCUUCAGAUUACCUCACAGGAGACCCUGGAGCAGAGGCCACGAUGGCUCAGUGUGGGCCUGGCCUCGCCUCACUCAGGACGCUUAGCUUUGCACACUGCUUGCUUUCUAUUGCAAAGGAACCCUCAUGUAAGGACCCUGCGUGUGGGGUGGGGUAACCUGGGACCCCCAUUAGUUCUCCUCUUCCCAGUGUGCUGACUUGAAUUAUUUCUUCUUUCUCUGGU